rnacentral:rRNA from 1 species
CCCUUAGAUGUUCUGGGCCGCACGCGCGCUACACUGAUGCAUUCAACGAGUCUAAAACCUGGUCUGAUAGGGCUGGGUAAUCUUUUGAAAGUGCAUCGUGAUUGGGAUAGAUGAUUGCAAUUCUUCAUCUUCAACGAGGAAUGCCUAGUAAACGCAAGUAAUCAGCUUGCAUUGAUUACGUCCCUGCCCUUUGUACACACCGCCCGUCGCUCCUACCGAUUGAAUGAUCCGAUGAAUACCAUGGAUUGAGAGUACGAAUGGGUUCGCUCAUUUCUGCUGCUCGAGAAGUGGAGUAAAUCUUAUCAUUUAGAGGAAGGAGAAGUCGUAACA